rnacentral:rRNA from 1 species
AUUAGUGGCGACGGGUGAGUAACACGUGGGCAAUCUGCCCUUCACUCUGGGACAAGCCCUGGAAACGGGGUCUAAUACCGGAUAACACUCUGUCCCGCAUGGGACGGGGUUAAAAGCUCCGGCGGUGAAGGAUGAGCCCGCGGCCUAUCAGCUUGUUGGUGGGGUAAUGGCCUACCAAGGCGACGACGGGUAGCCGGCCUGAGAGGGCGACCGGCCACACUGGGACUGAGACACGGCCCAGACUCCUACGGGAGGCAGCAGUGGGGAAUAUUGCACAAUGGGCGAAAGCCUGAUGCAGCGACGCCGCGUGAGGGAUGACGGCCUUCGGGUUGUAAACCUCUUUCAGCAGGGAAGAAGCGAAAGUGACGGUACCUGCAGAAGAAGCGCCGGCUAACUACGUGCCAGCAGCCGCGGUAAUACGUAGGGCGCAAGCGUUGUCCGGAAUUAUUGGGCGUAAAGAGCUCGUAGGCGGCUUGUCACGUCGGAUGUGAAAGCCCGGGGCUUAACCCCGGGUCUGCAUUCGAUACGGGCUAGCUAGAGUGUGGUAGGGGAGAUCGGAAUUCCUGGUGUAGCGGUGAAAUGCGCAGAUAUCAGGAGGAACACCGGUGGCGAAGGCGGAUCUCUGGGCCAUUACUGACGCUGAGGAGCGAAAGCGUGGGGAGCGAACAGGAUUAGAUACCCUGGUAGUCCACGCCGUAAACGUUGGGAACUAGGUGUUGGCGACAUUCCACGUCGUCGUGCCGCAGCUAACGCAUUAAGUUCCCCGCCUGGGGGAGUACGACGCAGCUAAACUCAAGGAAUUGACGGGGGCCCGCACAAGCAGCGGGAGCAUGGUGGCCUUAAU